rnacentral:rRNA from 1 species
CCGCCGCCGUAACACAUGCAAGUCGAGGGGCAUCGGGGGUAGCAAUACCUGCCGGCGACCGGCGCACGGGUGAGUAACGCGUAAGCAACCUACCUUUUGCAGGGGGAUAACCCGGAGAAAUCCGGACUAAUACCCCAUAUACUUUGAGAUACAUAAGUAUUUUAACGGAAAGGAGUAAUCCGGCAAAAGAUGGGCAUGCGUAUCAUUAGAUAGUUGGAGAGGUAACGGCUCACCAAGUCGACGAUGAUUAGGGGUUCCGAGAGGAUUAUCCCCCAGACUGGGACUGAGACACGGCCCAGACUCCUACGGGAGGCAGCAGUGAGGAAUAUUGGUCAAUGGCCGCAAGGCUGAACCAGCCAUGCCGCGUGCAGGAUGACGGCCCUACGGGUCUUAAACUGCUUUUUACGGAGAACAAAGCGAGCCAUGCGUGGCUCACUGAGUGUAUCCGUUGAAUAAGCAUCGGCUAACUCCGUGCCAGCAGCCGCAGUAAUAC